UGCCACUUUGAGAGUCAAAGGCAGUGGUC
rnacentral:piRNA from 1 species